UACGGAGGAUGCGAGCGUUAUCCGGAUUUAUUGGGUUUAAAGGGUGCGCAGGUUGUUUGAUAAGUCAGUGGUGAAAGUCUGUCGCUUAACGGUAGGAUUGCCAUUGAUACUGUUGGACUUGAAUAUGGAUGAGGUAGGCGGAAUGUGUAGUGUAGCGGUGAAAUGCAUAGAUAUUACACAGAACACCGAUUGCGAAGGCAGCUUACUAAUCCAUCAUUGACGCUGAGGCACGAAAGCGUGGGAAUCAAACA
rnacentral:rRNA from 1 species